GGCUGAAAUUUCAUGUGGUCUUUUCAAACAGCUUACAAUCAUUAAAAUCCUGACGGAAAAUAUUUACACAAGAAGCAACCUAAUAUCACACAGUCAAACUCUCAGUCAAUUUAGAAAUCUGUGGAGUGGUUGAAAAACGAGUUUUAAUGACUCCAACGUAAGUUAGACAUCUAAACUCCCCAGUGAUAUAGUGAUGGAAGUAGGAAGACAGUAUGGAUCAGCAGCAGCUUGCUGAAUACAAUUUGGUGACAGAUUAGACUGCUUACAGCCACACCAGGAAGGGACUGCCACAAUCUCCAGGCAGAGCAGGCAACAGAUGGCACACAGACAGCAGAGUUGGGGACAGAUAUGCAGGGACAGACUGGCAGAGACAGGGAGUCUCAGGACCUGAGCCCUAGGACCAUGCCUCAGGACUACCUGGUAUGAUGACUCCUUGCUGUCCCCAGUCCACCUGGCCGUGCUGCUGCUCCAGUUUCAACUGUUCUGCCUGCGGCUAUGGAACCCUGACCUGUUCACCGGACGUGCUUGUUGCACCCUCGACAACUAUUAUGAUUAUUAUUAUUUGACCAUGCUGGUCAUUUAUGAACAUUUUAACAUCUUGACCAUGUUCUGUUAUAAUAUCCACCCUGCACAGCCAGAAGAGGACUGGCCACCCCUCAUAGCCUGG
rnacentral:lncRNA from 1 species